AACGAACGCUGGCGGCAUGCCUAACAUAUGCAAGUCGAACGAGACCUUCGGGUCUAGUGGCGCACGGGUGCGUAACGCGUGGGAACCUGCCCUUAGGUUCGGAAUAACUCCCCGAAAGGGGUGCUAAUACCGGAUAAUGUCUUCGGACCAAAGAUUUAUCGCCUUUGGAUGGGCCCGCGUUGGAUUAGCUAGUUGGUAGGGUAAAAGCCUACCAAGGCGACGAUCCAUAGCUGGUCUGAGAGGAUGAUCAGCCACACUGGGACUGAGACACGGCCCAGACUCCUACGGGAGGCAGCAGUGGGGAAUAUUGGACACUGGGCGAAAGCCUGAUCCAGCAAUGCCGCGUGAGUGAUGAAGGCCUUAGGGUUGUAAAGCUCUUUUACCCGGGAUGAUAAUGACAGUACCGGGAGAAUAAGCUCCGGCUAACUCCGU
rnacentral:rRNA from 1 species